GGGCCAUCUGGCUGCAACAUCUGCCACCCCACUGAUCACCAGGUUGAUCCGGCUGCUCUGGCCGACUAGGCGGGCGUCCCCUUCCUCCUCCACAGCUCCGUAUGCUUCCCUCCCAAAGCAGCAUGCUCACUUGAAGAGGACAACCUCCCCCAAUAGCAGGGGAGUGUUCUGGGGUCAAGAGAUUUGAGUAGCUGUACACCCCUGCUGGAACCUCCAGACAAGCUCUCGAGGUCCGUCUGGAAGAAAAUUUAGGGUAGUCAAGCUUCCAAGACUCCACGCAUGCAUGCUAAGUCCUUUCAGU
rnacentral:snRNA from 1 species